AAGCAGGGGAAGCAGGAAGGAAUCCCUGCUUCCCCCAACAAACAGUCUCCAGGAGCUGCACUAACCUUCACUCCUCCACAAUGAACAGAGGUAACUGUCUGUAUGUGUAUGACUGUCUACCUGUGUGUGUAUGACGGUCUGCCUGUGUGUGUCUGUGUGUGUGUGAAUGUAUGACUAUCUGCCUGUGUCUGUCUGUGUGUGUGUGACUG